CCUACGGGUGGCAGCAGUCGAGAAUCAUUCACAAUGGGGGAAACCCUGAUGGGGCGACGCCGCGUGGGGGAAUGAAGGUCUGCGGAUUGUAAACCCCUGUCAUGUGGGAGCAAAUUAAAAAGAUAGUACCACAAGAGGAAGAGACGGCUCACUCUGUGCCAGCAGCCGCGGUAAUACAGAGGGAUCACGCGUUGUUCGGAACCACUGGGCGUAAUGCGUGCGUAGGCUGUUUCGUAAGUCGUGUGUGAAAGGCGCGGGCUCAACCCGCGGACGGCCCAUGAUACUGCGAGACUAGAGUAAUGGAGGGGUAACCGGACUUCUCGGUGUCGCCG
rnacentral:rRNA from 1 species